UACGUAGGGGGCUAGCGUUGUCCGGAUUUAUUGGGCGUAAAGAGCGUGUAGGCGGCCAGGUAGGUCUGCUGUGAAAACUCGAGGCUCAACCUCGAGACGUCGGCGGAAACCAUCUGGCUAGAGUCCGGAAGAGGAGAGUGGAAUUCCUGGUGUAGCGGUGAAAUGCGCAGAUAUCAGGAGAACACCCGGUGGCGAAGGCGGCCU
rnacentral:rRNA from 1 species